rnacentral:rRNA from 1 species
AUGUGUGUUCCAAAAGGACAAGGAGGAAUGAGUUUUCGAGAUAUACAUUGUUUUAAUUUGCCAUUGUUAGCUAAACAAGCUUGGCGUCCCCUGGAUAAUCCUGAAUCGUUAUGUGCCACAAUCUUAAGAGCCAAGUAUUUCCCAGAGGGGGAUUUGAUGAAUGCAAGUUUAAAAAAGGGUCCUCUUUUACUUGGCAAAACAUUAUGGCGGGAGUGGAAUCUCUCAGGAAUGGUUAUAUAUGAAGGGUCGGUAAUGGAGAAAAUAAUGAUAUAUGGAGAGACGCAUGGAUCCCGAAUUGCGCCAAUAGGAGAAUUAUUACUCCUAGAAGAGGGAAUCUAUUGA